AGCGGAUCGACCCGAACCAAGUAAAGGCAAGCCCUUACACUCUGCAACGGUUUGCAUCCAGUUAGUUAAACUUUAAGAAAUUCCUGAUGAUCAAAAUCAUCCCAACCACCUUGGCGUCCAGUCUGCUGAAGACCAGAGGAUCUCUUUCCCUGCAGUCUCCUGAAUUCAUUGAGGAGAAAGUGAGGUCUGCAGAUGCUGGAGAUCAGAGCUGAAAAUGUGUUGCUGGAAAAGCGCAGCAAGUCAGGCAGCAUCCAGGGAACAGGAGAAUCGACGUUUCGGGCAUAAGCCCUUCUUCAGGAAUGUCCAGAACGUCUCCUGAAUUCAUCUGAGCCUGCCGUUCAGAGCCAGCUCAAUCCUACAACAUUUUUUGUGCCAAAAACAUAACAACCCUUUUCUCACCUAAAGUAAAAUUUUCACAGAUAAAUCAACAUAACAAGAAUGUUUCUGAAAACUGAGAUGUUAAUAAAUUGCUUAUUCUUAAAUGCCUGAAGAAUCCAACAUUUAUCAUGGUUUGGCAAAACACCCAUUAGAAAAAUAUUUUCUUUUCAAUAAAGGAAUAUCAAAAGUAAUUAAGAAUUUAACCUUUUAAGGAGGGAGGUUAUGCUGGAACCGUAUAAAAUGCUGGUUUGGCCGCAACUGGAGUACUAGGCAAAAGUUCUGGUCACCACAUUAUCGGAAGGAUGUGAUCUUACUAGAGAAGGUGCAGAAAGCGAGAGAUUUACCAGGUUGAUCCCUGGUUCUGGUGGGUCUGAGUUGUAAGGAAAGAUUAUAUUUGCUGGGCCUGUUUGUGUUGGAGUUGUGAAGGUUGAGAUAGAAAUGGGGUGGAUAGAAAGGCGCUUUUUCCAGUAGUGCAGGGGUCAAUGAACAGGGGACAUAGAUUUAAACUAAGAGGUAGAAGAUUAAGAGUCAAGUUGAGAAAUCUUUUCACCCAGAGGAUGUUAGGAAUCUGGAACUCAUUGCCUGAUUGAGUUUUGAAAGAUUUAAACAAUAUUUAGAUAUUCACUCCAUAGCUAUGAGCGAAGAGCUGGAAUGUGGGAUUAGUGUAGUCAGACCUUUGUUGAUCGGACCAGGUAUGCGCCAGAUUCUGUGCUGCUAUUCUUUAAGAAUGUUUGCGAUUUUUGAGAAGAUUUGUAGUUCAGGUUGUAAGUUUGCUCACUGAGCUGGAAGGUUU